rnacentral:misc_RNA from 1 species
UGGCUUACCUCCUCAGAUGUUUGCCUAGGCUUGUAUAGCCUAAGCAGAUUGUGGGUUUCCUGUGUUGCCUACCUACGUCACGGAAUUGUCCCGAUCGAUCAAAGUUGCUUUCGUCUUGUGUCGUCUUGAUGGCAUAAGAUGAACCAUGAAGCUGUCUCUUUGCACCGCAUGUUAAUGCAUGCGUUGAUGUUGUGGCCCAUUGAGCAUUGCUUGGUACCUUGGAUACGGAACCUUAUGUGGGCAUGGGUCCUUGGGGAUCCUUGUUCUGCCCUCGUUUAGCGUUCGCGCUUCUCUUAGAAUGACUGCCUAGCCGGAAUGGCAACCCAUUGUGGAUGGGCAUUGUCAAAGAGGAAUGCUACCUGGUUGAUCCUGCCAGUAGUCAUAUGCUUGUCUCAAAGAUUAA